GCAUCAUUACCUGCUGGACCAGACUAACGAGGUCAUCAGCAGAGAGGUUAAUGAACAGUCAGUGAACGCAUCGUUACCUGCUGGACCAGACUAGGUUAACGAACAGUCAGUGAACGCAUCGUUACCUGCUGAACCAGACUAACGAGGCCCUCAGUAGGGAGGUUAACGAGCAGGCAGUGAACGCAUCGUUACCUGCUGGACCAGACUAAGUAGGUCAUCAGCAGGGAGGUUAACGAACAGUCAGUGAAUGCAUCGUUACCUGCUGGACCAGACUAGGUAAACGAACAGUCAGUGAACGCAUCGUUACCUGCUGGACCAGACUAACGAGGUCCUCAGUAGGGAGGUUAACGAACAGUCAGUGAACGCAUCGUUACCUGCUGGACCAGACUAACGAGGUCCUCAGCUGAGAGGUUAACGAACAGUCAGUGAACGC